rnacentral:sRNA from 1 species
GCUUCCGGGUUGGCGCUGCAGUGGCGUUUCCGACUGUGGGAGCCUCAGCUUCCCAGUCGUCCGAUGAGCCCGAGCAGUACCAGAAAAGUACCACUGUAAGUCAUGAGAUGUCUGGUCUGAAUUGGAAACCCUUUGUAUAUGGCGGCCUUGCCUCUAUCGUGGCUGAGUUUGGGACUUUCCCUGUGGACCUUACCAAAACACGACUUCAGGUUCAAGGCCAAAGCAUUGAUGCCCGUUUCAAAGAGAUAAAAUAUAGAGGGAUGUUCCAUGCGCUGUUUCGCAUCUGUAAAGAGGAAGGUGUAUUGGCUCUCUAUUCAGGAAUUGCUCCUGCGUUGCUAAGACAAGCAUCAUAUGGCACCAUUAAAAUUGGGAUUUACCAAAGCUUGAAGCGCUUAUUCGUAGAACGUUUAGAAGAUUCGAAUGCAGGCUCAAGGAAGCUUGUUCCAAGGGAGCAUGAUUGGAAGCUUUAUCGAUAUAUACCAACAAGAAGGCACCAGGGGUCUGUGGAGGGGUGUGGUUCCAACUGCUCAGCGUGCUGCCAUCGUUGUGGGAGUAGAGCUACCAGUCUAUGAUAUUACUAAGAAGCACUUAAUAUUGUCAGGAAUGAU